UACGUAUGGUGCAAGCGUUAUCCGGAUUUACUGGGUGUAAAGGGAGCGCAGGCGGCGCGGCAAGUCUGAUGUGAAAGCCCGGGGCCCAACCCCGGGACUGCACUGGAAACUGCCGUGCUGGAGUGUCGGAGGGGUAAGCGGAAUUCCUGGUGUAGCGGUGAAAUGCGUAGAUAUCAGGAGGAACACCGGUGGCGAAGGCGGCUUACUGGACGAUGACUGACGCUGAGGCUCGAAAGCGUGGGGAGCAAACAGG
rnacentral:rRNA from 1 species